GACGAACCGUGCGAACGUUGUUCGGAAUCACUGGGCUUAAAGGGCGCGUAGGCGGCGCACCAAGUCCGGGGUGAAAGCCCCCAGCUCAACUGGGGAAGUGCCUCGGAUACUGGUGCGCUCGAGGGAGGUAGGGGCGGAUGGAACUUCCGGUGGAGCGGUGAAAUGCGUUGAUAUCGGAAGGAACGCCGGUGGCGAAAGCGAUCCGCUGGCCCUCUUCUGACGCUGAGGCGCGAAAGCCAGGGGAGCAAACGGG
rnacentral:rRNA from 1 species